CAGGACCAUGUUAGGAUUUCCCUCCCCUCGUUCGUGUCCUCUGGAAUCGAUGGUCGUUCUUCCACCAGUGUGUGCCAUUGCUACUACUCACAAUUCCUGUUUGGACGGAAAUACCACCCUACCAGUAGGGCGAAUAUAGGCUGUCUGGGUCCAAUAGCAAAUGGACACUUAUAACCGUCGGAAAUUUACUAUUAUACUAUUCGUAUCCUGCGCUCUCUUGUGUCGCUGGUCUUCUUCGGCUGCGUGUUCAUCUUUAUAUCGAUCAAAUCAUCCUUUCGCUUUCAUGACUUGCAUGGUAAGGUCACCAGAAAAACGCUGUUACGCCUGAUUAUCCCUCAAAUCGUCCAGGAGAGUUGCUUGGAAGUUGGUGCCUGAAAAGGCCCCCAUUAUUACCAACAUUGAUGGGAUUCCCAACGAUCACACAAAGAAUCCUCAUCGGCUCCUUCAUCAAUCCUUCCGACUUGGGACUUAAUUCUACGCAAGACCUGAAUGUGAAGACUCCCAGAGGUCAGACGUGAAGCCAAACAUUGAAUCUCCCUGGGAAAAAGCGCCCGACCCGAUUUCAGCGACUUCGAAAACCUCAGCAUGGAAUUCGCAACAUAAGUGCUAAAUGCCUUCUCCCUCAGCCCUUUUUUUUUUAAUAUGAUUCCGAUCGGUCAUUGGAACCUGUCUGAUUAGACAACCCCUGGAGCUGUCCAAAUGGACCAGGUGCAUUCACCAAUCAUCGCUUUGAAUAGGUUUGGCCUGGCCUAGCAUACUUAUUUUUGGUCUCUAUCAUGGUGUUCGGUUUCUCGCAGUAGCCGCCCAAAAUACAUGUCAGAGAAGAGGCCUUUGGAUGCCAGCCAGUGAACGAAUAUCAGAGGCUAUUGGCACUCAUUAUUACAAUUUAUUAUUUAAUGGCUAGAAUCCUGUGGCUCAUACCAGUUUACCAGGAUAUUUCAAAUCAAUGCGCUGUGUCCUGGAGAGGCUCCCUUCUGGGCGGCGGCAAGAUGAACAACCAUACCUGUCAGCAAGCCGUUGUUUUGGAUGACAGUGGAUGUGUGCUCGUUAGUUGAGAAGUAACGACAUCAAGUGCCCCGUCUUGUCGGCCUUGACAGGGUGGACCGCUUGGCCUAGAGUGGAGUCUUGUUUUGCUCAGAGAGCAGGAAUAUGUGUGCGGUCGUCUGCGUCUCCUUAGCACGGAGAGAGCCUUUUAAUAUUAAAUUCCGAAUAACUUACCCCUCGGAAGUCUAGCGGCGAUUUUCCUUCUGCGGAAGACUUACUUCGUAUAAUUUUCCAAAUUAAUUGCAUGAUUGUGACUGAAUCAGACUGAACCCCUUGUCACGACUUUUCCCUGACGAUCUGAUCCACAUGCCCUAAAAGUAUAAAGUGAUGUGAAACCUGCUUCAUGUGCAGAAAACGGUAACCAUUUCGCCUUCUGAGUUUUGUUGUCGUGGAAGUCCAAAAACUCCUACCCCUCAAUUAUUGUGGAUAUGGGGCUAAAUGCUUUUGAAGCAUCCAACAGAGUUCGCAUGCCCUGAUUUGGCGCAGAUCUAGAUUCUCAUUUUUGUCCGUGCAUUAUUCGACGACCACAUCUUGCGCUGUGGAUCAACAGACUUGAGCUAGAAUAGAUGGAGGUGCUUGGAUCAGUCAAAAUAGCAGCAUGGAAAAUUUUACUCCCUUGGCAUCGCCUCUCUAACCACUUCGGAUGGUAUUAUCUUCUCGCUUAUCGAUCAGAUGAACGGAUAAAACAUAAAAUUUAGGCGAAGAGCGAGGGAAAGGUGCAGAACUCUUAGUUUUUUCGUUCAUAAUUGACUGCCCCACCUUUGCUCAGCAUUCCAUGCCUAUCAUCAUCUCUUAUCGGCGACCUUAUCUCCCCACACUCCGCCCCGUCAAUCGCAUUAUAUCAGCUAUCUCAGCGAGUCGAUUAAGAAUUGUUUCUGACAAGUGCAAAUUUGCCCACUUCCCCUGCUCCAACCUAUAAAAUAUGAAUACAAAGUCUCCACACGCACACACACUCUCUCUCUCCCGAGCCUCAGUCGCUCAAGGCCGCAACGCUACGGCGGGCGUAUGCGCGAAGGUUCCGCGAUCGAUUCUCAUACGCCACUAGUGGGCUAAGUAGAGUUCCGCCAUGCCGCGAUCGACCCUGAUCGGGUACCAAUGAAAGUAGUUCGAAAGCGAAUGUUUGAUUCUUUAUCCUCGCGAGGAGAGACAUAUGCAUACCACCUACUAGUGGUUAUUAAAAAAUCCGGUCCAAAUCCAAUAAUAGCAACGGCAAGAGUUUAAUGAGAACAGUUAGAGGGAGCACAGGAAAAAUAUUCCUUUUUGG
rnacentral:sRNA from 1 species